AUACGUAGGGGGCGAGCGUUGUCCGGAAUGAUUGGGCGUAAAGGGCGCGUAGGCGGCCCGGUAAGUCUGGAGUGAAAGUCCUGUUUUUAAGAUGGGAAUUGCUUUGGAUACUGUCGGGCUUGAGGGCAGGAGAGGUAAGUGGAAUUUCCAGGGUAGCGGUGAAAUGCGUAGAGAUUGGGAGGAACACCAGUGGCGAAGGCGACUUACUGGACUGUAACUGACGCUGAGGCGCGAAAGUGUGGGGAGCAAACAGGAUUAGAUACCCUGGUAGUCCACACUGUAAACGAUGAAUGCUAGGUGUAGGGGGUAUCGACCCCUUCUGUGCCGCAGUCAACACAAUAAGCAUUCCGCCUGGGGAGUACGGCCGCAAGGUUGAAACUCAAAUGAAUUGGCGGGG
rnacentral:rRNA from 1 species